UCUUCUCAGUUCUGUUUAACAAAUUUUUCCUUAAUUAUACUCAUAAAGGUAGUUUUUUGUAAUCCUUUCUGAAAUUUUAUGGAUUUUAAUCGAUUUCUUUCUGCAUGUGUAUGGUGUGAAGGAAAGGUUAAAUCUGUUUUUUCCUUCAUGAAUAGCUAACAGUUGACUGACUUUUCAUUGAAAACUCCAUCUUUUUCCUCUUUCCUAAAGUCCUACCUCUAUCAACAAUCAAGUAUCCACUUGGCGUUAUUUCUAAACUUCUUAUUGUACACUCGUCUCUUUUUUCAUCACAUAACAAUUUUGUGUUGAUUGUUCCAGCUAAUUAGUAUGUGUUUCUUUAGACAAAGUAAGGCCAUAAUUUUUGUGUUCUGACAUUGAGGGUGUCUUUGCAACUUUUUAUGUCUGAGAAGGACUUUUUCAAGUUACACAAAAAAUUUUGACUUCAGCUGGGAACAUGCAUGUCAGGUGACUAAAUAUUUUGCUGCUCUGGGCGUGUCACUGAAUGAUGGUAAAGUGCCAUAAGUAUUGAUUUUGGGGUUAAAAGAAUUUUUAGCAAAUAAAUAAAUUUGUAAAUACAAAAUCUGUGAAUAAUGAGGAUUGAGUAUAAAGGUGUUUUUUGGGCAAAUUGGUGAUGUUUCUGAUGGUUACCAAGGGGCUGAGAGAGUUGGGGACUGCUAUGGUGUUCCAUGCUAGGAUGGCCAGAUAUUCAAUAAAUUAAAAUCCCCAUAAGUAAAGCAAACAUCAUAUAUAAAACCUGGAAGGCUUUUAAAUUCUUAAAAAUCCCAAUCUUCAUUGGCCCAGUUAGGGCCAAUGUGUUUAUUUCUUCUUGUAUCACUCCCUGAGGAGAGGCAUUCUCUCAGCUUACCAAUCGUGUAACGUUUUCACACGAAAACUACUCCCAAAAUUAGGGUAGGUCUUAGGUUUAAUGUUUCAUAAGCAGGAAUAUUGUUUGUUCCAGACCCUAGUUCCAGGAUUUAGUCCUUUUUCAUAGAGUAACCACAUUCCUGUAUCCUAACAUGUCUGCCAAAAUUUGGUUAAUGUUCUGUGUAUCUUCUCAGAGGCCGAUCUGCUCAGGAAAAUCAGAACCAGAAGAGAGAAGUGAAAAGCCGAGAUCUUUGUGAAGUCUGUACAGCAUUACAUUGCCCUGGCCUAGCUCCUGGUGGAGCAGAACUUUCCAGCCAUUGCUAUCCAUUGUGGGACGCCCUGGCAGGAGAGGCUUUCCUGGUAUCAGUAGUUAAAGAUCUUUGAUGACAACUUCUUGUGGCCACCAUGGACACUGAGCGGGUGAACACUGCCAUCAACUACCACCUGCCUGGAGAUUCCCACUCCUACCUGCAUCUGGUAAGCUGCACACCCACAUGGACAUCCCAGUGUCCCCUCCCACCCCCUGAUUUCCUAUGUCUUCAUACCUUACAUGCUUGUCCCUUCUUUUGGGUGUCUUCCUACUUUGGGGUUUUCCCAGUGCUACCAUCUAUCUCCUUCCAUGAGACCUGAGCAGGCCAGUUUGGUCACACAGGUUUGGCCAUCAUGUUUGUGUCAGUUGAAAAGAUGCCAAGGUUCUCAGUGAGGUGCAGAGUCACAUUGAGGUCAGUAGGAGUGAGCUGCCUGAUGAGAUGGCCAUUUCCUCCUCCAGUGAGUAUUGAUCUCAUGAAACUGGCUCCUCCAAA